AAUGAUUUAUUAUUGAGCUCGAUCAACAAAAAACGAGAACGUUAUAGUCUCAAGGGAUGAAUGAUGAUCAGUUUUGUACACCAUUGAAUUUGUUUUUGAGAGUAAUAAACUUAAACUUCUCAGCGAACUGGACUGUUUGGACAGUGUUUAGACUUCAUUUUUUGCAGAUUCCUUUUCUAAUAUGGAAUUAUAACAAAACAAAAACACAUUGGCUUAAUUAUAGGGGAAAGGAAAAGGAAAAGGACGCGUGCUUGCACAGAAAUGAAUCGAUGUUUUGGAUACAAACGUAAACAAGACAAUAAGGUGGUGAAGCAAAAUUGCAAGGAAUUUUUCUAAUCUAAAUACGGCGAUUUUGAAAUUCAUUUCUAUUCAGCUUAUCAUCCUUUUUUCAUUCACUGACACAGUAUUAUCUUUUAACGUUGUAUGACGAGAUGCAUUAGUCUAUGCUUAACAAGUUGUGUAAUAUGAGAGACAAGACAAGAAGAAUUGGGAAUUCCAGAAUAUGUGCAAUUGAUAAUAUCUACACGAUUUUUAAAAGAUAUAUCAAGUUACGAAAGUUGAUCCAUUGUUGGUACAUUUUAAGUUCCCGCAUUAGAGUUAAAGGGCCGCCGCUUCUGCCAAUGUUUAUCAUCAAAGGCUGGUUGGGAUAGUAAGAGAAAAUGAGGAUGAUACAGUUUUCAAUUGAUAUUCGGAUGUUUAUUAUUUUAUUAUUAUUUUUUUAGACAAUUGUCUUUGAUCUAUAUUCAAUGUGAGCUGAGAGCUGAGUGGAGAACGAAAAAUUUCUGAAACAAUAAAAAAUCCAUUAAAAUAUAUUAAAAUCAUAAUAAUGUUAGAAAAAAAAAAUCGAAAAAAUUAAUCAAAGGGUUUCAUUGACUUGGAGCAAAGAUAAAGGAAGAAUUUGAAAAGAAAGUAAAAUCUAAUAAAAGAAACGU